GUGUGAAGUAUCUUUAACCUUUUCAACAGAGUUCGAUGGAAUCCUUCAUGCUUCUUUUUCUAUAAUAUAAUUUAAAUAGAUUUGGGUUAUAUUCUUAUUUUCAUUCUAAGUUUAAAUUCCUCUUAAUUAUUUUUCAGCCAACCUGAAAGGUGACAAAAUGCCAGUUAUUUGUAAGAAUAAAAAAAAACAGUAUGAAACACAGAUGGCCCAACAAUACCAAGGAAACUCAGGAAUAAAGUAAAGGGCUUGGAAAGCUGCAUAUAAAAAAUGCAUCACAAAGUAAGUGGAUAUUAAUUUAUAUUUCAAGAUUUUACAUUUCCAGAAAGUUAGGCCACAGCAGUUCAUAA
rnacentral:lncRNA from 1 species